rnacentral:rRNA from 1 species
UACGUAGGGUCCGAGCGUUGUCCGGAAUUAUUGGGCGUAAAGAGCUCGUAGGCGGUCUGUCGCGUCGGCUGUGAAAGCCCGGGGCUUAACCCCGGGUCUGCAUUCGAUACGGGCAGGCUAGAGUGUGGUAGGGGAGAUCGGAAUUCCUGGUGUAGCGGUGAAAUGCGCAGAUAUCAGGAGGAACACCGGUGGCGAAGGCGGAUCUCUGGGCCAUUACUGACGCUGAGGAGCGAAAGCGUGGGGAGCGAACAGG